rnacentral:rRNA from 1 species
UGCGUAGGCGGCCUAUUAAGUCAGUGGUGAAAGGUAUCAGCUUAACUGAUGACGUGCCAUUGAAACUGACAGGCUUGAGUACAGACGAGGUAGGCGGAAUUUAUGGUGUAGCGGUGAAAUGCAUAGAUACCAUAAAGAACACCGAUAGCGAAGGCAGCUUACUAGGCUGAGACUGACGCUGAGGCACGAAAGCGUGGGGAGCGAACAGGAUUAGAUACCCUGGUAGUCC